UACAGAGGGUGCAAGCGUUGUUCGGAAUUAUUGGGCGUGAAGGGCGCGUAGGCGGUGCCACAAGUCACCUGUGAAAUCUCCGGGCUUAACUCGGAGCCUGCAGGCGAAACUGUCGGGCUGGAGUCCGGAAGAGGCGAGUGGAAUUCCUGGUGUAGCGGUGAAAUGCGCAGAUAUCAGGAGGAACACCAAUGGCGAAGGCAGCUCGCUGGGACGGUACUGACGCUGAGACGCGAAAGCGUGGGGAGCAAACAGG
rnacentral:rRNA from 1 species